rnacentral:tRNA from 1 species
CGUUAUGAAGCUAUAUUAGCGUUAACCUUUUAAGUUAAAGAAUGAGAACCGCUUUUCUCCAUAGCGA